GCCAGGGUAGUGUAGUGGUUUCAGUAUCGGACUAAAACUUUGGAGACCAGGGUUUGAUUCCCAGAUCGGCCA